GUUGUUUUUAUUAUGUAUCAGUAACUAAGAAUAAACGUGAAGAAACCGUAAGUCAGAUUGCGUAUUAGUACUUUUCAUUAAUAUAGACAUAUAUUAAUGUUGCAAGCAAAUUUGGCCCAAGACUAUACAAAAGACGUAUAGAUUAAUCAACUGAAGACAAGAAGAAAUUAAGAAGAUUUAACAGUGACGAUCGAAUCCAAGGUACAUCUUACAAUCACUACACUCCUAUACACACACUAUACAUGGAUGAAAAGGCGGGGGGGAGCUGUGAAAAUUUUUCGCACAGGGUGCCUAAAGCCGGCCAUGUUAAGAGGUCUUGUGGAGUUCAUGCCUUGACGCAUUAGAGUUGUUUUUGCAGCAUGAGGAGGACCUACAUUAUAUUAGGCAGGUGUUUUUUUUAUGCUGUCGCUGAUCAGUGAGUGUAUAUUAUAUAUAUAUAUAUAUAUAUAUAUAUAUAUAUAUAUAUAUAUAUAAAAAAACAUCAUUUUUGCUAGAGAUAUUCUUUCUAUAAUAUAGCAUUUUACAAAAAUACAUUUAAAGUAAACCUUUGGUGGCAUCUUGAGGGCAAACUCUGCAUUACACUUGUAAUUUGAAUUUAGCCUCAAAAUUGAUUAUUUGGUUUAUACCAUAUAUAUGUGGUUGUUCACCUAUAUUGGAGGUAUAGACAUAUUUAUAUUAAAAAGCAAAGAAAAAGUUACCUGCGCUCUCUCCUAUAUAGGGGUAUAUAUAAAAAAUACCCCUCUCUGUCUCAUUACAGAUAUCUUUGCCAAAAGCUCAAGGAAGCAAGGUGAAAGAUCAGUGCUGGAACCCACCUGAGGGGGUCUGCCUUGACGUUGGCAGGCGGGCAUUCCCUCCAGUGGCCAUUGGAGUAACUAAAUGACCCCCAUUUGUUUAUACGUACAUAUGGAUUUAGGAGAGAGCACAGGUAACUUUUUCUUUGGUUUUUACUGUAUGUAUUGGGGCUGAUGUGUACUGUGGUCGUUGCUGCCGCCCAGGAGUGAUCGCAGAGUCAAAUCCAUGUGUCCAAUGUGGUUCCAAACCAACUUGAAAUGUCAUCAGCUGCCACUGGUCAAUACUGAAACCUUUCUUUUAUUCAAACUGUUAAACAUUUUCACUGCUUACAGGUGGGGUGUUUGUGUGUGUGUGUGUGUACGCACCAGCCAUGGCCCCAUAACCAUUACAAUGUUUUUGGAGUGUUCCUUUAAUACAUUUCACGAACAGUCUCUGCUUAUGUUAGUGGUCUUCCUUUUUAAAAAAAAUUCUUUAUUUUUCACUUGAUAGGUGUGACAAGUGCACAGACACGUUCGGG